GACCGCCUACCCCCACAACUGAAGUCACCCAGGGGAGUGCCGCCCGAGGGUCAAGCUAGACACUGUUUGAGAUAAAACUACUCUACGUCAGAUGCGUUACUCUUGCCCUGAACAGCCCCUUCCUGGUGCUCAGGGAUAAAGCCACGUGUCCUUUUUUAAACAUUUUUUUUAAUGUUUAUUUAUUUUUGAGAGAGACAGAGCAUGAGCAGGGGAGGGGCAGAGAGAGAGAGGAACACACAGAAUCCGAAGCAGGCUCCAGGCUCCAAGCUGUCAGCACAGAGCCCCACGCGGGGCUCGAACCCACGAGAUGUGAGACCAUGACCUGAGCCGAGGUAGGAUCCCCAACUGACUGGCCACCAGGUGCCACACUGGUCCUGGUGCUCCCUUCGGGGGCCCGUCUGGGUCAGGUGCUCCCAGAGCAGGUGCACCGAGCCCAGGCUUCAUGUGCAAGAGGUUUAUUAAGCCUCUGUUCCAAGAAGAAAUUAGGAAGGGGUCCAGAGGAGGUGCGGGGCGGGGGUCAGGAAAGGGACAAAUUAAGAUUCAGGCAAAGUCUGGGGCCUGGGUGAUGCCUGGGGGGCACUUGCAGGGACGGGAAGCCUGUUCACAGAGUUUGCCCUAAGGAAGGAGCUGGGUUUUCACUCCCACCCCUGGCCACAUCCCCUCCCAGCUUCCAGGUGGCAGUUGGCUGAAGAAAGCCCUGGGAGGCACUGGGAGCUGGGGACAGAGCUUGGAGUGGCCCCGGGGACGUGAACACACCGCCCGCGCCUGCACCAGGGUCAGAGUCCACGCUGAACGCCGCCUCGCUCCAGCUUUCAAAUACUUGUGCGGCCCUGAUCGUGCUGUGGAGUGUUUUGCACAAGAACGUCUGUAGGUGCCGGGACUUCAGGACCAUCGACGCUGCAGACUUCUAGCCCUCGCCAGGCUGUGUGAGCCCCUCCCUCCAAGAGUACACUGUGCCCUUUGCAAGAGAGCGACCAGGGUCUCUGGCUGAGUUCAUAAAACGGGAAAACGUUUGGUUUAUGAGCUUGAUGCUGAGCGUGAUGGCAGAGAAAGGGCCAGCGGGAGCUGGCACAAGAGAUGGGGAGUGGGUGUCCUCACCUCCCUCCGCGGGGCUCUGACGUGUCCUGUGUGUGCAAGGCUCCAGGAGGCACCCCUUGACCACGUGGAGUGUGAUGUCCCCACUCGCCCAGUGCACUGAAGGGACACUGAAUGUUGUAACCCUAUAUGUUAAAUAUGCACCACAGGACCCUUUCAGGAUGGAGAAGACAUUUUCCGGAAGAUCAUGUUGUCAAUAUGGCUGUGUUUGUUUUUUUUCUCGCCUGCCAAGGUGUGGAGAAUUACUGGAAUAAAGAACUCUCUGGUCCUUGAGGGAGGCGUGUGUGGCUCUGGAAGGAGAAAUGGAUUAGCUUGGCCACAGAGAAGUCUGCAUGGGGAAUCUGCUCCCCGGGGGCCGUGGGCAGGGAGGGGCAGGUGUCCCCGGAGGAGGAACAGGUGAGUGGAGCUUCCCGGCCCACCUGCCUUCCUGUGGCUCUGACACUUUCCCCGAGGACAUCCCGACCCUCCAGGUCCAAGCUCUCUCCGCGCCUCUGCCUUCUGCUGAAAGCUGUCCCAAUGGCCUGGUCCUUGGCGGCCAAUGACUAUUCAUGUUGCUUAUGUCAUGUGCACCUACUAUAACUAAGAAAGACUAUGUCUUCUCGAUGGUGGAGGAAUCAAUAUUCAAUCAGUAUUUGUUCAAUGAAACAAGGCAUGUGAGAUCUUAUUUGUUUUCUAAAGUUUUAUUUACCUUUUUGUGAAAGAGAGAGAGAGAGAAAGAGCUUGAGCAGGAGAGAGGCAGAGAGAGAGGAGAGACAGAGAAUCCCAAGCAGGCUCCAGGCUCUGAGCUGUCAGCACAGAGUCUGAUGCGAGGCUCCAACACAUGAACUGUGAGAUCAUGACCUGAGCUCAACCGAGUGAGUCCCCCAGGUGCCCUGGAGGCAGGUGAGAUCUUAAGGAGACCGUUCUUGCCCUAUUUCCUCUGCGAGCAGAAAAUAGAACGUAUAUACGUGAACAUUAUACACACACGGAAAACAAAGCCAAGUGGUAGUUAAAGAAGAAAAACCAGCCGUCAAUCCAACAGCCUGGUGAUCACAGCUCCUCAGACAGUAUCUUGAACGUGGUGUUACUUGGUUACGUGCAUUUCCUGGGGCUGGGGACGGGGCGUUAGCGCUGCAGGCUCUGUUCCAGGUGCUGCGAGGCUGUUAGCCAACAAGAUGAGCAGAGGUCACGGGCAGAGGUCACUGCCAGCCUGCACUUGGAGUUUUGAGGGAGAAAAACAAUAAGGCUCAGUGCAGCGAGCAAGCGAACACUGGGGCAGGUUGGAAGAACGGGCAGGUCUGUGCUGA
rnacentral:lncRNA from 1 species